CCCGCGGGUGGGCAUAAGAGGGGGCAUGGAGAUCACAGCCACGCCUGGUCACGGGGACAGGUUGAACCUACGCAGCUGACGUCAUGGUUGGCACGCAGCUUAGUCUUGUAUCUGGCUCCGUGGGGCACGUGGUGCCCUGUGCACACAUGCCCACCUCGCCCUGUUGGCCCCUCUGGGCACAACUGACUUUGGGAUAGGGACCAGAGCCUGAACUGUCCUGGGGGCCCAAUGUCAUUGGUGAUCCCCUAGUUGGAGAAUGCUCUCUGGCAGGGAGCAGGAGAGGAAGAGAGACUGAAGCUGGAGGAGGAUGCAGUGCAUGUGGCUGACUGGCAGGUGGAGGGGUCACCCAAGGAGGAAUGGGGGCCCUAGGGCAGAGAGCAGCCUCCGUGGACGCCAGCAAGGAAACAGGGGUGUCAGGCCUGUAACCUCAAGGACCCGGAUUCUGCCAGUGCCCGAGUGAGCCUGGGCAAAGAUUCCUCCCGGAGCCUCCAGGUUGGAGUCCAGCCCCACCACACCUUGAUUUUGGCCCAUGGGACCCUGAGCAGAGCCCAGCUGAACUCAUAUGGCAAGAAAGACCGGAGCUAAAAAGGAUGUUGUUUUAAGACACUAAGUAUAGGGCGAUCUGCUACACAGCAAUAGAAAACCACGGCAAAACCCACAUGGGUGAAGACACUGGGUUUGGGUUUGGACGUGCUGAGCUUGGGACGCUUUAGGACUUCCAGGUGGAGGAGUCCAGAAGGCAUUGUUUGCCCAUCCAUGGUGCCCUGAAGAGACCAAGAGGCUCACAUCAGAGGGUGGUCUCAGAGAGGCCGAGCGUGUGACAGCAGAAAAAUCGCUUGCCGUCUACACCCACCCUCCCUCUCUGCACGAGGACGUGGCACCAGAAAAUUGGCAGUCUUUUCCUAGCCUAAAGCACCGCAGUGAGCACCAACCAGUGGUUGCCAUCACCGGCCUCACUCCGAGUCCAGCUCCUGUGGCAGGAUAGCCGAGCUCUGCAGAGGGUCCCGGGCUGGGGCCUGGGGCUGCGUCCGCCAGGCGCUUCCCUGUCUCCUUAUGCUCCAGGGGCCGUUGGCUCUGGGGCAUGCAGGGGUCCCAGUGGUGCCUGUCUCUCAUCCUGCAUCCCUAUCACGCUGGCGCACACUAGGGCCCCUCGUACUGCUGAUGUCACAUGCUGACUGCUUGCCGCCUUCCGAGAGCCCGUCCUCUUCAUCCAGGGGCCCCAGCAAGUGAUGCCAUUUUAACACAAACUUCAAGAGCAAAGUUUGUGAAUCGGUUGCUUUGAGCCCAGGAGCUGUGUCUUGCCUGUGCCUGGCCUGCUUCCUAAAUUCCAGGGAUGCCUCCUGACCUCCAAGCCCACUCCUCAGCCCCCAUCGUCUCUACUUCCUUUUCAGGUUGCAUUCAACUCAGCCGUAAAACAGAUCAGGGCUGCCGGAUCCCCGCUGCUCAGAACAUGAGAUUUUCUCCUGGCAGUGGGAGGCCUGACAUCUUAUUAAAAACAGAGCAAAUGGCAUCAGUGGAAAGGUAGUAACUGAGUACCUGCUGUGUGCCUGGGGAUGUCUUCUGAGCUGGGACUGGAAAGAGGAGCGGAAGGAGAGGCUGAGCUGUGAGUAAGAUGUCUCCAGCCAAGCACGAGGCAGCCCAGCCUACUCAGCAGGGAGCAGAACACAGUGGCCCAACCUUUUUGGCACCAGGGACCAGUUUCAUGGAAGAUAAUUUUUCCACGGACGGGGUAGGGGACGGUUUCAGCAUGACACUGUUUCAUCUUAGAUCAUCAGGCAUUAGAUUUUCAUAAGGAGCGAGCAACCUAGAUCCCUUGCACACGCAGUUCACAACAGCGUUCAAGCUCCAGUGAGGAUCUAAUGCCACUGACCUGACAGGAGGUGGA
rnacentral:lncRNA from 1 species